ACGAUGUUAGAUCUGUUGCAUCCAUCCUGGCGUGAGAAUGAGAAAAUAUUGCUCGUUUCGAAUGUGCUUGCAAAAAUAACAGAAAUCGUAGGGAGCAUCUCGGAUGAAUUCAAAAGAUCACUAAUGAAACCUUGUGGAUUUUUUUUAGCGAUCAGCGAUUAGUAAACUUUGUGGGAAUCGCCAGUUUCGUCAAAAACUACUAAAUGUUAAAAGAGUGUAUGGAAAAAAAUUUCACUGUUGGAAAAACUAACGGGAUUAUGCUUAAAACGAUGAGAAAAAUGCAAUACCCACACUUGACUUGUAAACUCAUUCAUUGCAAUAUACGUUUGCUUAUUUGUUGGUGCCUGGAAAACAAAAGAGAAAUUAAUAACCUAAAUUUAAAAAAUAAAAUAGAAAAAGGAACGUUACAUAAUACAGAUGACUAGUUUUCUGUGUAAAAACAAUAAAAUAAAAAAUAAUGGUAAUUAAUAAAUAAUACAAUUUUGGAUAUUGA